GCAGUGGGGAAUAUUGCACAAUGGGCGAAAGCCUGAUGCAGCCAUGCCGCGUGUAUGAAGAAGGCCUUCGGGUUGUAAAGUACUUUCAGUUGUGAGGAAGGGGGUGUCGUUAAUAGCGGCAUCUCUUGACGUUAGCAACAGAAGAAGCACCGGCUAACUCCGUGCCAGCAGCCGCGGUAAUACGGAGGGUGCGAGCGUUAAUCGGAAUUACUGGGCGUAAAGCGCAUGCAGGUGGUUCAUUAAGUCAGAUGUGAAAGCCCGGGGCUCAACCUCGGAACUGCAUUUGAAACUGGUGAACUAGAGUACUGUAGAGGGGGGUAGAAUUUCAGGUGUAGCGGUGAAAUGCGUAGAGAUCUGAAGGAAUACCAGUGGCGAAGGCGGCCCCCUGGACAGAUACUGACACUCAGAUGCGAAAGCGUGGGGAGCAAACAGGAUUAGAUACCCUGGUAGUCCACGCCGUAAACGAUGUCUACUUGGAGGUUGUGGCCUUGAGCCGUGGCUUUCGGAGCUAACGCGUUAAGUAGACCGCCUGGGGAGUACGGUCGCAAGAUUAAAACUCAAAUGAAUUGACGGGGGCCCGCACAAGCGGUGGAGCAUGUGGUUUAAUUCGAUGCAACGCGAAGAACCUUACCUACUCUUGACAUCCAGAGAAGCCAGCGGAG
rnacentral:rRNA from 1 species